AGAGUUUGAUUCUGGCUCAGAACGAACGCUGGCGGCGUGGAUAAGACAUGCAAGUCGUGCGACAGACCAGGAAUUGAUUACUUCGGUUUGAUUUUCCUGACGAUGAGCGGCGAACGGGUGCGUAACACGUGAGAAACCUGCCUUGAAGUUCGGGAUAGCUCGGCGAAAGUCGAAUUAAUACCGGAUGUGGCCUAGGGAUAGCAUUUUCCCUUGGUUAAAGCUCGGUCACAGAGCGCUUUUAGAUGGUCUCGCGGUCUAUCAGCUUGUUGGUGAGGUAACGGCUCACCAAGGCUACGACGGAUAACUGAUCUGAGAGGAUGAUCAGUCACACUGGAACUGAGACACGGUCCAGACACCUACGGGUGGCAGCAGUCGAGAAUCAUUCACAAUGGGCGCAAGCCUGAUGGUGCGACGCCGCGUGGGGGAUGAAGGGCUUCGGUCUGUAAACCCCUGUCAUCUGUGAGUAAGGUCUCGUAUAAAAGCUACGAGAAUUGAUAUUAACAGAAGAGGAAGGGACGGCUAACUCUGUGCCAGCAGCCGCGGUAAUACAGAGGUCCCAAGCGUUGUUCGGAUUUACUGGGCGUAAAGGGUGCGUAGGCGGUUAAAAAGUUUGGUGUGAAAUCUUCGGGCUUAACCCGGAAACUGCAUUGAAAACUAUUUAACUAGAGGAUCGGAGAGGAGAUUGGAAUUCUCAGUGUAGCAGUGAAAUGCGUAGAUAUUGAGAGGAACACCAGUUGCGAAGGCGGAUCUCUGGACGAUUCCUGACGCUGAGGCACGAAAGCUGGGGGAGCGAAGAGGAUUAGAUACCCUCGUAGUCCCAGCCGUAAACGGUGCGCACUUGCUGUGGGCGGAUUCGACCCCGUCCGUGGCGAAGCUAACGCGUUAAGUGCGCCGCCUGGGGAGUACGGUCGCAAGAUUAAAACUCAAAGAAAUUGAC
rnacentral:rRNA from 1 species